GCCUUCGUGGUGUAUAAUCGGCAACACGUCAAAAUCCGUUAAGCCGUACAGCAGAAUUUAUUGUGACGAACCCGGUUCAAAUCCGGGCGAGGGCC